rnacentral:ncRNA from 1 species
CCGGCACAACGGCUUCCUGACGUGUCGGGUUCACCUAUCGGAGCA